GUAGGAAUAAGUGAAUAGCAUAAAUCGAGGGUGAGCAUGAUACAAAAUACAAGGUCCAUGGCUUACUGAAUGGCAUCACCGAGAAACUACUCCUUUUUCCCGUAUUUACGUGUACGGGCACGGGCUUUAAUAGGAGACUCCUUGUUUUGAGUCGUGAGAAAUUCUUGUUCAUGGACAAAAUAACACGCUAUUUACCUACUUGAGUCUUUUAUUGCUUGUCUUAUCAGCUUGUGAUGAAUAAACAUGAAUUUAUGGUCU